GUAGUAAUUAGCCAAGUAAGGAAAGAAGAGAGAACAUACCCAGCAAAGGUAGCAGCAGGUACAAAGGAAUGGAGCCUUGACUCCCUGUUCCUGGUGAUAAGAAUUUCUCCUCCUCCAUGUACAGGAAGGGCAUCUCUUGGGAGUUUUCUCUCCUGUUUUCACAAAGAAAAGGGAAGGUUGUCUAUGUCAAGGGUACAGUAAGAGGAGUGGUCUUGUCUGCCUUGAAUCUUGACUGAAUAAUAGAGGAAGAGAUUUGAGGAACACAAUUACAGUUUGUCUUCAACAACUUGAACUUGAACCAUUUAACCU